AGUGAACGCUGGCGGCGUGCUUAACACAUGCAAGUCGAACGAGUGAGUGCUGUAGCAAUACAGAUUACUGCUAGUGGCAGACGGGUGAGUAAUACAUGGGAAUCUUCCUCGGAGUCUGGAAUAACAGUUGGAAACGACUGCUGAUACCGGAUAUUGCCUGAGGGUGAAAGAAUUUCGCUCCGAGAUGAGCCCAUGCAAGAUUAGCUAGUUGGUGAGGUAAUGGCUCACCAAGGCGAAGAUCUUUAGCUGGUCUGAGAGGAUGAUCAGCCACACUGGAACUGAGACACGGUCCAGACUCCUACGGGAGGCAGCAGUGGGGAAUAUUGGACAAUGGGCGAAAGCCUGAUCCAGCGACGCCGCGUGGGUGAUGAAGGCCUUCGGGUUGUAAAGCCCUUUCGUCAGGGAAGAUUAUGACGGUACCUGAAAAAGAAGCUCCGGCUAACUUCGUGCCAGCAGCCGCGGUAA
rnacentral:rRNA from 1 species